CAGCUAGUUGGUGGGGUAAGAGCCUACCAAGGCAGAGAUCGGUAGCCGGCCUGAGAGGGCACACGGCCACACUGGCACUGAAACACGGGCCAGACUCCUACGGGAGGCAGCAGUGGGGAAUCUUGCACAAUGGGGGAAACCCUGAUGCAGCGACGCCGCGUGAGCGAUGAAGCCCUUCGGGGUGUAAAGCUCUUUCGUCAGGGAAGAUAGUGACGGUACCUGGAGAAGCAGCUGCGGCUAACUACGUGCCAGCAGCCGCGGUAAUACGUAGGCAGCAAGCGUUGUUCGGAGUUACUGGGCGUAAAGGGUGUGUAGGCGGUUCUUUAAGUUUGCUGUGAAAUCUCCCGGCUUAACCGGGAGGGUGCGGUGAAUACUGAGGGACUAGAGU
rnacentral:rRNA from 1 species